GCCUCUAGGACUGGGGAGUGCUGCUGUAUGCCUUACUGUGUCCCCGGUGGAACAGUCCUGAUGAAGAGCAGAAUAAGAACAAUCGGGGGAAUCCAGGGAUCAGCCUGUAAUGACUGUUUGGUGUUGUCGUUCUGCGGUGCAUGUGCAGUGUGCCAGAUGCAAAGGGAACUCGACAACAUGGGAGUCUUAUAAAAGCUGUGUCACCUUGACAUUUUUAAAAAAUAUUUUCAUCAAAUUUAAAAGUUAAUAUGACGUCAACCUGAAUACAUCCACAUCUUUUAUGGAUUAACAAAGCUAUCUAACUAUAGAGUGUAUUCGUUCAUCUUUUUUUUUUCGCAUUAUACUUCAGAUGCCUAGUUUUAACGAUUCCUCUUCACUUGUCAAUAUCGCUCUUGGUUACUACAUGUUGUAAGUUUGCUAUUUUCAAUUUUCUGGAAUAUUGCUUGUCAUAUUUGACAUAUGUGGUGGGGCCCUCACCUUCUUAGCUUCUUAGAUUACCAUUUUAAUAAAAUAUCCAAAUUUUUCAAA